CCUGGUGGCUUAGUUGGUAAAGAACCUGCCUGCUAUGCAGGAGACCCAGGGUCGAUCCCUGGGUCAGGA
rnacentral:tRNA from 1 species